CUACACUGAAUAAUUGUGUCACCGCCUUAUAUAUUCUAUUUUUAUAACAAUUACAAAUCCAAUAAGGCUACUGCUCUCUUAAAGUUACAGUCCAGGCACAUAUACAUCUGUUCUGAAAUAAUCAGAUAAUUAGCCAUUGUUUAACAACUAGGAGAGCUCAAGCGAAAUAUACAGUGGUACAUUAAAUACAAGCAUGUGUCCCUUUAAGCAUGAGGAGAAAGAUGGCUCUUCUGUUUAUAAAAUAGGUUCGUACUAGGGUUACCAUAUCCACCUUCUUAUCCUAUAUAUCAAAUCAUCAUAUGCAGCACCUGAAACAUUCUGCCCAGCAGUAUCUAACAUUUAUAUGCUACAGGAGGGGAAUCCAUUAAUAAACCAAGCAAAUAAUUCAGGAUUGUUUGUUGAUUUAAAGGGACACUCCAGUCACCCAGACCACUUCUGCCCAUUGGAAUGGUCUGGGUGCCAACUCCCACUAUCCUUAACCCUGCAAGUGUAAUUAUUGCAGUUUUUAUAAACUGCAAUAAUUACCUUGGAGGGUUAACUCCUCCUCUAGUGGCUGUCUACUAGACAGCCACUAGAGGGCACUUCCUGCUUCAUAGCACAGGUUUUCUGUGCUAGAGCAUCGCUGGAUGUCCUAACGCUAUGUGAGGACCUCCAGCGUCGCUAAAAUCCACGUAGGAAAGCAUUGAAAGCAUUUUCAAUGCUUUCCUAUGGAGAGGUCUAAUGCACGUGCGCGGCAUUGCCGCGCAUGCGCACUAGGCCUCGCCUGCCAGUGGACGGGAUCUGUCUCCCCCGCCGGAUGAUGUGAGGACGGGGAGGAGUGUGGGCGGACCAAGAAGCAGCGGCGAGGGACAUCGUCACUGCCUCUGGUAAGUCACUGAAGGGGUUUUAACCCGUUCAGUAACCGGGGAUGGGGGGUGGGAGGGAGAGGGGACCUGCAGUACCAGGAAAACUGAUUGUUUUCCUGGCACUGGAGAGUCAAUUUAAGGGAUACAAUAAGCACCAAAACAACUUUAGCUUAAUGAAGCAGUUUUGGUGUAUAGUUAUGCCCCUGCAGUCUCACUGCUCAAUUCUCUGUCAUUUAGGAGUUAAAUCACUUUUGUUUGUGUUUACGAAGCUCUAGUCACACAUCCCAUGGAUGUGACUCACACAACCGGCAUGAAAAAUAUGGUUUGAUUUUCAAUCAGCCCAGUGUGUUUACUUUAGAAGUUUUCAUCUCCUACCAUGUUAAUUAAAUGUUAAUCUCACACAGAAUGUUCCUGCAGGCCCUAGCAUGCUAUUAACAAAGCAGGAGAUUUAAGCUGAUUUAAAGGAAGUUUAAAGAUUAGAUCUCUCUUUACAAUAAGUGUUUAGGAAGGCUGUGUAAGUCACAUACAGGGAGGCGUGGCUAGGACUGCAAAAAACAAAGUGUUUAACUGCAAAAUGGCAGAUAAUUGAGCAGUGAAACUGCAGGGGCAUGAUCUAUACACCACGACUGCUUGAUUAAGCUAAAGUUUUUUUUAUACUUGUAGUGCCCCGCUAAUGAAAUAAAUUAUUACAGCAUUUGAAUGCUAGAUACUACUAAGAAGCACUUUUUAUGUGCUGUCCAACAGAAAGUGAUUUGUGUCCAAGAUAAAAAUAGUGGAUCUGGCUAUCUAAAUCCCUACCACAUGAUACGCAUGCGCAUUAGGUCUCCCCCACCGGCGGGCGUGAUCGGUCUCCCCCGCCAGAUGACGUGGUGACGGGGAGGAGCGUGGGAGGGCCCAGAAGCAGCACCAAGGGACAUCGACGCUGCCUCAGGUAAGUCACUUCAGCAACCGGGGAUGGGAGGUGGGAGGGAGAGGGGACCUGCAGUGCCAGAAAAUGGAUUGUCUUCCUUUAAACUAAACUCAAGAGGCAGCAAUUGCCCAGAUCAACUGCCUUAUAAAGUCUUCUCAUUGAGCUGCAUUAGAAAGUCUGUGAUUGGACAGUCACAGAGAGUCUGGGCGGGGUUAGAAGGUAAGAACUUACAAAGGCUGUAGAUAAGAGAUCUGCAGCUUUUGCAAGCUGUUUUUAGAUAUAUCCUCAUUGAAAAAAAAUGCAUUAUUAAAUGCAUGCAAGUUUUCAUUGGGGACAUAUUUACAAAACAUUAUUUAAACAUUUUUUUUUACUUUAAGUGUAGAGUAGGGGUUAAUAUAUAGUGUGUUAGGGUAGUGUAGGGGCAAAAGGGAGGACUUUAUUCUAAGGGCAUAACUGUUCCAGUGCUACCUGAGAUGAGAGGUGGGAAGCAACUCUAUCAGCAGCCAUCUUUAAAGUGGCAGCAGGUUCUGGUAGAGCUUCAACGUCCACUAAUCUCAGGCAGAAUGAGUGACCAAUGCAUUAUUCAUCAUUCAUUAUGGAAAUAUGUUAGAUUUCAAUGACAUUGAAAGGCCCUCUUUGUGGCAGGGGAUUUCAGACACAGUGCCUGGUCACUUAGAUACCAGAAGCUAUUAAAAACAAUGGGCAUAUUACAUGUGCCACACAUUUGAACUAGGCCUUAUGAAGAACCAGUGGCCACAGGGAACACGUGAAGUAGGACACAGCUGCUCUCCUCAAGAAGACAGUUGAUUUCCUCCAAACUCAAGUCCUUUGCCCGUCUUCUGUUUAUCUCCAUGAUUUCAUCUCCCACUUGCAGGAUUCCCGGUGGAAAUGUCGAGGCAAAGGCUCUGCUCAUCUGUACCACGUAUAAUCCUGACAGGAGGUGAAGAAAACGUUAUAAGGUUAAGAUGGGAAAGAAGAUGUCACUGACAAGGGUGAAAGGUCGGCCACUGAGUUGGAAG